rnacentral:misc_RNA from 1 species
GAUGAAGAACGCAGCGAAAUGCGAUAAGUAAUGUGAAUUGCAGAAUUCAGUGAAUCAUCGAAUCUUUGAACGCACCUUGCGCCCUUUGGCUAUUCUGAAGGGCAUGCCUGUUUGAGUAUCAUGAACACCUCAACUCUCAUGGUUCGCCAUGAUGAGCUUGGACUUUGGGGGUCUUGCUGGCCUACGGUCGGCUCCUCUCAAAUGAAUCAGCUUGCCAGUGUUUGGUAGAGUCGCAGGUGUGAUAACUAUCUACGCUUGUGGUUUUCUGCCAGAUAACCUUCAGUGAUGGAGGUUCGCUGGAGCUUAUAAAUGUCUCUCCCCAGUGAGGACAGCUUUUUGAACGUUUGAUCUCAAAUCAGGUAGGACUACCCGCUGAACUUAACCAUCUCAAUAAGCGGAGGA